rnacentral:lncRNA from 1 species
AUCGUGACUUGCCACCUCCUCACUGCCCUCCACUGAGGCAGGGAAGUGAUAUUAUCCCAAUUAUGCAGCUUGAGAUUAUGGAGGCUUGAGCUCCAGCCCAGAUCUUAAACUAUUUAGACACUUAACCAACAAGUUGGAUUCUUGCCUAACAUCCUACAGGAAGUCUGUCAAAAUCCUGGAUAUGAAGCUACCUCUCCACAACUGCUGUCAAAUCACAUUAACUACUAAUUCUGGAAGAAUUUGGAGAUGACCAGCUACCUGCUGGGACAGAGAUAAAUACAGGGACAUAGCAGCUUCUGAACACAGGAUGCCGUCACCCAGGCCAGUUGAAGGCAGGCAGCAGCCAGGAGUGCUCUAUAGGCAGCUUAAGAAGUCUCACAAUCUUUUCUCUCAGUUGUGUAUUUAGGAAACAGCUGCCGAGACGGGGUAAGUGCAGUAUUUCCAAGUAUCUCCACAGCAUCAACCUGCUGAUAUACAAGAGUAUAUACAAUGAUAUACAAGAGGAUAUACAACCUCUUGAUA